ACAACAGGUUGAUAUUCCUGUACUACCGAUAACCGUUUGAGAGAAGGGAUGACACAGUAGGAUAAGCUAAGCACACUGGUGGUUAUGUGUGCCCAAGCAUUGAGGCAGUCAAAGUAGGCAAAUCCGCUUUGAUAAUGCUGGGAUGUGAUGGGGAGCGAAAUUUAGUAGCGAAGUAGCUGAUUUCACACUGUCAAGAAAAGUCUCUA
rnacentral:rRNA from 1 species